GGACCAAAUUUGAAGUAGAGUAGAUCAGGAGGAUCAUCUAACCCUACUAAACACUACUCUACUUCGAGUUUGUGCCC
rnacentral:pre_miRNA from 1 species